rnacentral:rRNA from 1 species
GGAGUUAGCCGGUGCUUCUUCUGCGAGUAACGUCACAGAUGUAAGGUAUUAACUUACACCCUUUCCUCCUCGCUGAAAGUGCUUUACAACCCGAAGGCCUUCUUCACACACGCGGCAUGGCUGCAUCAGGGUUUCCCCCAUUGUGCAAUAUUCCCCACUGCUGCCUCCCGUAGGAGUCUGGGCCGUGUCUCAGUCCCAGUGUGGCUGAUCAUCCUCUCAGACCAGCUAGGGAUCGUCGCCUAGGUGAGCCUUUACCUCACCUACUAGCUAAUCCCACCUGGGCUUAUCCAUCAGCGCAAGGCCCGAAGGUCCCCUGCUUUCCCCCGUAGGGCGUAUGCGGUAUUAGCAGUCGUUUCCAACUGUUAUCCCCCACAAAUGGGCAAAUUCCCAGGCAUUACUCACCCGUCCGCCGCUCGUCAUCUUCAAAAGCAAGCUUUUGAAAUGUUACCGCUCGACUUGCAUGUGUUAGGCCUGCCGCCAGCGUUCAAUCUGAACCAGAUCAAAUCUGA